UUAGCCAAUUCGAUUCAAUUAAAUCAUCUGGGAUUCCAAGAAUUUGAACUGGUUUGUACAGGUCCUGUUGUACAUAUUUUAAAAUUAGAACAAAUAACUCUGGCAUGUCUGGGUUGUCUGGUAUCAUGUGUUGAUCGCAAUUCUCGUACUUUAAAUAUCGAUUUCUCAUACCAUGGCUUGGGGUAUUGUACAUUGCUUAUCGUGCCGAGAUUUUCAAUUAAUGGUAUUUGGGGGUAUGAUGUAUUGAUUGGUAUUGACCUGUCUUGUUGCACAGCUGUUGAGCACAAAACCAUGCAACAAAAUAUUUCUUAAUAUUUUAGUAUGGGAACCCCAGGAACUUCGUCAGUUUCAAAACGAAAAACGGUAGAUGAAAGGAGUAACGAGGCUGAAAAUUCACCCCCCGAAAAUGCUAAAUACGACAUGGAAAAGCCGCGGAAAAAAAUUAAUAGUGUCCAGGACAGAAGGGCUGCCAAGUCUUUAGUCUUUAAACUUAGUUGUUUUUUUCUCUUUGAUCUUUACAAUUUGGCCAACAAAUCACGAAUUCACUUCCUGAAAAGUUGGCAGAACUGGGACACAAUGAUUCCCCUGGCAAG
rnacentral:lncRNA from 1 species